rnacentral:rRNA from 1 species
AUUGAACGCUGGCGGAAUGCUUUACACAUGCAAGUCGAACGGUAGAGGGGGCAACCCCUUGAGAGUGGCGAACGGGUGAGUAAUAUAUCGGAACGUGCCCAGUCGUGGGGAUAACGUAGCGAAAGUUACGCUAAUACCGCACACGAUCUAAGGAUGAAAGCGGGGGAUCGCAAGACCUCGCGCGAUUGGAGCGGCCGAUAUCAGAUUAGGUAGUUGGUGGGGUAAAGGCUCACCAAGCCAACGAUCUGUAGCUGGUCUGAGAGGACGACCAGCCACACUGGGACUGAGACACGGCCCAGACUCCUACGGGAGGCAGCAGUGGGGAAUUUUGGACAAUGGGCGCAAGCCUGAUCCAGCAAUGCCGCGUGCAGGAUGAAGGCCUCGGUU